rnacentral:rRNA from 1 species
AUUGAACGCUGGCGGCAUGCUUUACACAUGCAAGUCGAACGGUAACAGGUUAAGCUGACGAGUGGCGAACGGGUGAGUAAUGCAUCGGAACGUGCCCGGUCGUGGGGGAUAACGCAGCGAAAGCUGCGCUAAUACCGCAUACGAUCUGAGGAUGAAAGCGGGGGACCGUAAGGCCUCGCGCGAUCGGAGCGGCCGAUGUCAGAUUAGGUAGUUGGUGGGGGAAAGGCUCACCAAGCCAACGAUCUGUAGCUGGUCUGAGAGGACGACCAGCAACACUGGGACUGAGACACGGCCCAGACUCCUACGGGAGGCAGCAGUGGGGAAUUUUGGACAAUGGGCGAAAGCCUGAUCCAGCAAUGCCGCGUGCAGGAAGAAGGCCUUCGGGUUGUAAACUGCUUUUGUACGGAGCGAAAAGGUCUCCUCUAAUACAGGGGGCUCAUGACGGUACCGUAAGAAUAAGCACCGGCUAACUACGUGCCAGCAGCCGCAGUAA